CACCCCAUAACGUUGUAAGAAGAAAACAUUGAC
rnacentral:rRNA from 1 species